rnacentral:lncRNA from 7 species
GUACCAGCUCCAGCUUUAGCGCCAGCAUCUCAGGCUCCACAGUCUGAUCCUUCCAGUGUACCAAUGUAUGAGUAAGCAACAACUCUAGCCUCUCUAGCAGAUCCUGGAUCUGAGACAAACUCUGAUACUAUUCCGGACUUUACACUGAUUGCUCACCUCGCCAUGAUGCGUCUGCCCCUCGUCCUUCUUCUUCUGGUCUCUAGGUUAGGGCGACCCUUUUGGUGCUUGAUGUCAAGGGGGAGAGAUGAGAGUUGUGAGAGCUAG